CUACGGGAGGCAGCAGUGGGGAAUUUUGGACAAUGGGGGCAACCCUGAUCCAGCCAUGCCGCGUGAGUGAUGAAGGCCUUCGGGUUGUAAAGCUCUUUUAGCGGGGAAGAUGAUGACGGUACCCGCAGAAUAAGCCCCGGCUAACUUCGUGCCAGCAGCCGCGGUAAGACGAAGGGGGCUAGCGUUGUUCGGAAUUACUGGGCGUAAAGGGCGCGCAGGCGGCUCUGCAAGUCAGGCGUUAAAGACCCAGGCUCAACCUGGGGAAUGCGCUUGAUACUGCAGAGCUUGAGAUCGGAAGAGGAGAGUGGAAUUCCCAGUGUAGAGGUGAAAUUCGUAGAUAUUGGGAAGAACACCAGUGGCGAAGGCGGCUCUCUGGUCCGAUUCUGACGCUGAGGCGCGAAAGCGUGGGUAGCAAACAGGAUUAGAUACCCCAGUAGUCC
rnacentral:rRNA from 1 species